CAUCUAGGCGGCCAACUAAGUCUGAUGUUAAAAUGCGGGGCUCAACCCCGUAUUGCGUUGGAAACUGGUUGGCUAGAGUACUGGAGAGGUGGGCGGAACUACAAGUGUAGAGGUGAAAUUCGUAGAUAUUUGUAGGAAUGCCGAUAGGGAAGCCAGCUCACUGGACAGAUACUGACGACUGAAGUGCGAAAGCGUGGGGAGCAAACA
rnacentral:rRNA from 1 species